CGCAUCUGUGCAUGCAGCAUAUCAAUAAGCGGAGGAAAAGAAACUAACAAGGAUUCCCCUAGUAACGGCGAGUGAAGCGGGAAGAGCUCAAAUUUGAAAUCUUAAAGGGUUUCCCUUUACGAAUUGUAGUUUAAAGAAGUGUUUUCUGUUGAGGUUUUGGUAAAAGUUCUUUGGAAUAGGACAUCAUAGAGGGUGAGAAUCCCGUAUUUGACCUUUACUUUCAACUUUGUGAUACACUUUCAAAGAGUCGGAUUGUUUGGGAAUGCAGUCCAAAAUGGGUGGUAAAUUUCAUCUAAAGCUAAAUAUUGGCGAGAGACCGAUAGCGAACAAGUACCGUGAGGGAAAGAUGAAAAGAACUUUGAAAAGAGAGUUAAACAGUACGUGGAAUUGUCAAAAGGGAAGCGUUUGACACCAGUGUUGUUUUUCUGAAAAUCAAUUAAAGAACUGUUUAUGCUAAGCUGUUUAGACUUUAUCAGCUAACUGUUUAGUUUUGAGCUUUUCAUUAAUGCACUUUUCAGUUAACAAGUCAACAUCAAUUUCUUUUGCUGUAAAAAAGCUUGAGGAAGGUGGCUUGAGAUUCGUCUUAAGUGUUUAUAGCCUCUUGCCUAUGCAGUCGGAGAGAUUGAGGUCUGCAGCGUAGAUCCUUCGGGGCUAAAUGCAUUUGUGCUAAGUUAUAGCAUUUUAUAGACAACUUGUUGACUAUGAUUUGUCUUGUAGCUUACUCGCUUAUGUUAUUUUACCUACGCUUAGGAUGUUGAGUCGUAGAGCACGCAG
rnacentral:rRNA from 1 species